rnacentral:tRNA from 1 species
GCCCGGGUGGUGUAGAUCACUUAUUGGUGAGCACAAGGGUAACACACCGGCCUGUGGAGCCGGGAAUCGCGGGUUCGAGUCCCGCCCCGGGCC